UCGUUUGAUGAAUUCAUAGUCAAUCGAGGCGAACCGGGGGAACUGAAACAUCUCAGUACCCCGAGGAAAAGAAAUCAACCGAGAUUCCCCCAGUAGCGGCGAGCGAACGGGGAGCAUUCCAGAGUCAGCAUCCAUAUUUGGCGCAAGAGAAGGGUCUGGAAACGCCGGCAAUAAAGGGUGAUAGCCCCGUAUCUGAAACGGUAAGUGUUGUGAACUCGAAGAGUAGGGCGGGACACGUGUUAUCCUGUCUGAAUAUGGGGGGACCAUCCUCCAAGGCUAAAUACUCCUGACUGACCGAUAGUGAACCAGUACCGUGAGGAAAAGGCGAAAAGAACCCCGGCGAGGGGAGUGAAAUAGAACCUGAAACCGUGUACGUACCAGCAGUUGGAGCUGCAUCACUCAAAUUGCUCGGCAGUUGAGUGGUGGCUUAGCAUCACAAUAGCAGCACAGGCUUUGACAACAAGGUUAGUCGCUUUUUUCACGCCGCAGCACAGUGUACCGAGAAGUACACGCGCAGCCGAAGUUAAAAAAGCGGGCAAGAUUGGCCGCAAAGACAAGCGGGACAUUUGAGGAUGGGGUGACUGCGUACCUUUUGUAUAAUGGGUCAGCGACUUAUAUUCUGUAGCAAGGUUAACCGCAUAGGGGAGCCGUAGGGAAACCGAGUCUUAACUGGGCGUUAAGUUGCAGGGUAUAGACCCGAAACCCGGUGAUCUAGCCAUGGGCAGGUUGAAGGUUGGAUAACACUAACUGG
rnacentral:rRNA from 1 species